rnacentral:rRNA from 1 species
GACGAACGCUGGCGGCGUGCCUAAUACAUGCAAGUCGAACGCAGUGGGGACGGGUGAGUAACACGUGGGUAACCUACCAUCAGAGGGGAUAACACUUGGAAACAGGUACUAAACCGAUACUGAUGGAUGGGACCGCGGUGCAUUAGCUAGUUGGUGUGGUAACGGGUCAGCAAGGCCACGAUGCAUAGCCGACCGUAGAGGGUGAGCGGCCACACUGGGACUGAGACACGGCCCAGACUCCUACGGGAGGCAGCAGUAGGGAAUCUGCGGCAAUGUACGAAAGUCUGACCGAGCAACGCCGCGUGAGUGAAGAAGGUUUUCGGAUCGUGAAACUCUGUUGUUAGAUAAGCGGUAUCUAACCAGAAAGCCACGGCUAACUACGUGCCAGCAGCCGCGGUAAUAC